rnacentral:rRNA from 1 species
AAGUCGCAAGCUCGCGAGAGUAAGCUAAUCUCUUAAAGCCGUUCUCAGUUCGGACUGUAGGCUGCAACUCGCCUACACGAAAUCGGAAUCGCUAGUAAUCGCGGAUCAGCAUGCCGCGGUGAAUACGUUCCCGGGCCUUGUACACACCGCCCGUCACACCAUGGGAGUUUGUAACGCCCAAAGUCGGUGGCCUAACCUUUAUGGAGGGAGCCGCCUAAGGCGGGACAGAUGACUGGGGUGAAGUCGUAACAAGGUAUC